UUUUAUUUCAUUUGCAUUCACAAUAAAAUCAAAAUGCUAGCUGACUGUGCAAAGAGUCACUGUUUACAGCCACAACUGGAGGGAGAGAGGUAGGAAAGCUUAAAGGCAGCAGGUUUAGCUUUAAGGUGGUAGUUUCAGCCCUCUUAAAAUGACCAAUAACCAUGUACAAUUAUGGGAAAUCUGGCCCUAAAGACAAUCAUGAUCAAUCCUCUAUAGAUUAGGGCAUUGAAUCCUGAGUAGUUCACAAACACACACAAAAUUUAGCGAUUACUUUACAUAUUAGCUUUAAAAAAUUUCAUGCAAUUGUGAGUUUUAAUGCAGCACAGUUCCUUAAAAUUGUCAAUAUUGUUUCCUUAAUGGAACUAGUACAUUCCUAAAGACACAUGCAUUUUUACAAAUUCUUACUAUUGGCUUCAACCGAAAAAUUGAAGGCAUUUUCCUCUGGAAAAUAUUUAAGUCCCAGAAAAUAAAACUUCUUGAGAAUGCCUACUUAAGAUGAAUUUUUUCUUCAGUUUGUGCAACCUGCUGGCUUUUAAAAAGGGUGAGUUUCUUUGGCGUGAAAGGAAAAUACAGGAGACAUACAAAUCUUCACAGUUGUAAAUGAACAAAUGAGGGUACACACUUCCUGGAAGACAAAUCUCACUAAGAGCAUGUUUACUAAAAAACCUCAGUCGGGGGGACCAGAAAAGGCUAUAAAACGUUUUUAAGAAAUUUCAAAUCAAUUCACUGUGUAACAAUUUCAGUAACAAAUAUCUUUAUACAAUCUAUUUAAAAGCUAGGUCCUUCCCCUAGCAUGUUAAAUCAUUUUAUUUACAAAAACGUACAUACAAAAUCUGAUAAUUGAGGUAUUAGAAAAGUGAGAUAUAUUCAUACAUCAAAGAGGUACUCAUGAAUAUCCAUCAUAACUGAAAAUGAGCUUAUUUCUCAGCAUUAUAAAAAUGUUACAUUACAACCCCAGCAUUCUUUACAUGUCUUUAAUUAGUAGAAAAUAGAUUUUGGCACUUGGGCAGUCUGCGUUAUUCCUGGGUCUUUUCAUAUGAAGAUAAACACUGAUUGCCAUUAAUAGAACCUGUGCUUUGAGCUCUUCCCAGCAGCGCUAACUGGCUGUCCCAAGCCGGGCACCGCCUGGGGCCAGGUGUUUCCCAUCCCCACUCCUGCCCUUCUGAUGAAUUACCACUUACUAAAUAAAUGAUCAGCUAGAAUCAAGGAUGACACACCAUGGCCAGAGAACACAGCAAAAUUAACCUGGCUCUCUCAGGAACAAAAAUACCUGCCCUUGCAUCAGCAUUAAUGAUCUUCCAAAAAGAAGAGUAAAUAAUACACCUCCAUGUUCCAGUAUGACCACCGGUUAAACGAGAAAUGACCAACCUCAUUGAGAGGUGAAAAGAUUUCAAAUUCACCUAAAAUAACAAAUUAACUUUAACUUCGUAAAAUGUUUUAAUGCUAAAAAGCUAUGGCAGUCUCCUCAGAAACCCAUUUUUGGCAAUUGAAUCUCUGCAUCUCUGCAACCCAAAGAACUUCCAAAUAAUAAAAACUAAGAGGGCUGCUUUUCUCAGAACGCCUAUGUCUCAAGGCGGGGGCAGGGAGAGGUGGUGUCAGCCAUUGUAUAUCACUAUCUCUGGGCUACAGGUUAACAGUGAUCUCUGUUCAUAGGUGUGAAAGACCAGUACCAAUCUUCUGGUCCUCAGAAUUUAUGAAGUAUUUCGAGUUCCAUAUAAGGCCCAAGUAAAACAUGAACUCAGCAAAUUCACAACAUGACAUAAAAGAACAAAGUGAAGAUUCGGCAUGCACGAUGAAAGUAAUUUCGCAGUCAUAUGACUAAAACAGACCUCUUCCUUCCACUGGCAUCCAUAAACCUUUAAAUACAAAAGCAUCCCUAACUACCAUUUAAAGCUUCUCACAAGAACGGGGCAAAAAGCCCUUUAGAUAUUGCUCUGGUGUGUUAGCAAGGGGAAAAAAAGCAUUACUUAAGUACAAAAAAAAACAUAGUAAAUUUUAAAAACUGCCUUAGAAAUUAAUUGCUAUGGAACAAGGACAGAAACCCCCCACAAGUUUUGGUUUAAUGUAUGCAAAAAUGCUCUCCUUUGUAUUGAUAUCUGACACGAGUUGACUAACUUUGAAUACUUUUAGGGAAAUCAAGUUCAUGCUGUUAUUUUCAAAUUUGCCAGAACACAAAGUAGAGAGAGAACAAUUGCAUACAGAUCACUUCUUCCAAAUAAGUCUUGGAUGAGGCAGAAAGUGGGGAACAAAAUAGAUUGCUUGGGUUUUUUU
rnacentral:lncRNA from 1 species